rnacentral:sRNA from 1 species
UCAAAAGUCAUGCAAUCUGAGUUCGCCGCGUCUUGCGGAAAAGAUUGCAUGACUUACAUCUUGUGAG